GUGUUCUAUAUUCUACAAUUAGGUCUCAGUCUUUUAGUGUGCCUAUGCCUCUGGGCUAUAAAUUCAUAUGUGUUUUUAAGUUUUUCCUUCCCUUCUGAAGUGAGACAGGGUGAGUAGGGCAGGUUGGACUUGGGUAUUUCUUUUCUUCAGGUCAGUUCGCCUCUGAUACUACCUUGGCAGGGGCUUCUCACGUGGCCUUAGGAUGGACUGUGCUAGUGAGAGACCCUGAAGUUUAUGUUUUAUCAGCUUCACAGUACAUUGUCAGCUUUGCUGAACUUAGGUUUUAGGUUCUAUAUCCCUGGGAAUCUAAAAAACAACCUACAUUCUCCAGUGUGGUGGCCAGCUAUUUUGUACAAGUAUCGAGAAGACAGGGUAGAUGGAAAGGACUCAGAUGGCUGCAGGAGGACACAUCUGUCCGACGAUUUUGUGAUCAGAAGUGGAGCCAACUUCUCAUCCUUUUACUUCACCCUAUAUAGCUGAUGGAUUUGCCCAGUCCUAUCAAUUCAUUUUUGAUAAAGCUACAACCAUCUGCUUGUUUCUGUCACCAGCUUUCUCCAGAACUUCUCUGCCUCUUCCUGGAUUAGUGUAAGAGUUUCCUAACUGAUUUUCCUGCUUUCCGCCUCCUCUUUCCCCAUCCGAUCUGCAGACUACCUCCUUUUUCCCUAUACAACCUGCAAUCGUUCCAAACUAACGUUCUUAAAAUACUACUCUCUCUCCAUUAUUAAUCUGUUCAUACCACCACAUGGUUCCUCAUUGCCUGCUCUACAGCCUGGCAGUCAAGUGCUCUUGGUUAAGUACACCCAGUGGCUGAUCCGCCUCCAUUCAAGUUUUUAUUAGUGCACACUCUUCACUGUGCCACACUAGUCACACUAUUUUUGAGAUUUGUUUUCCUCUUCAUCCUGUCCUUUGCUUAGCAUGCUCUUUUCUCUAAUCUUCCCCUUUAUUAGCCUAAAUCUCAACUUUUCCAUGGUUAUUCCAGUCCACAUUGGUUUCUAAGUUUUCAGAGUGACUUUCCAAAUUUAUGUCUGAACCCCUAUCUCUGGCACUAAGUUAUGGACUGCCUUGUUUGGUUAUUUAACCACUUUACAUCCAAAUAUUGUCCCCUAAAACAAUUUUAUGUGCUGUUAAAGCAAGGAUCAUUUGUGGUUCUUCUUUUGGAAUCUCUCGUGUUCAGCAGUUUUAUAGAAUGAUCUAAAAAUAAAUGCUUUUAAAAA